AUUGAACGCUGGCGGCAGGCCUAACACAUGCAAGUCGAGCGAGAAAUCACUUCGGUGAGAGUACAGCGGCGGACGGGUGAGUAACGCGUAGGAAUCUACCUGGUAGUGGGGGGACAACAUGUGGAAACGCAUGCUAAUACCGCAUACGACCUAAGGGUGUAAGCGGGGGACCUUCGGGCCUCGCGCUAUCGGAUGAGCCUGCGUUGGAUUAGCUAGUUGGUGGGGUAAAGGCUCACCAAGGCGACGAUCCAUAGCUGGUCUGAGAGGAUGAUCAGCCACACUGGGACUGAGACACGGCCCAG
rnacentral:rRNA from 1 species